rnacentral:rRNA from 1 species
UGGCGGCGUGGUUAAGACAUGCAAGUCGAACGAGAGAAUUGCUAGCUUGCUAAUAAUUCUCUAGUGGCGCACGGGUGAGUAACACGUGAGUAACCUGCCCCCGAGAGCGGGAUAGCCCUGGGAAACUGGGAUUAAUACCGCAUAGUAUCGAAAGAUUAAAGCAGCAAUGCGCUUGGGGAUGGGCUCGCGGCCUAUUAGUUAGUUGGUGAGGUAACGGCUCACCAAGGCGAUGACGGGUAGCCGGUCUGAGAGGAUGUCCGGCCACACUGGAACUGAGACACGGUCCAGACACCUACGGGUGGCAGCAGUCGAGAAUCAUUCACAAUGGGGGAAACCCUAAUGGUGCGACGCCGCGUGGGGGAAUGAAGGUCUUCGGAUUGUAAACCCCUGUCAUGUGGGAGCAAAUUAAAAAGAUAGUACCACAAGAGGAAGAGACGGCUAACUCUGUGCCAGCAGCCGCGGUAAUACAGAGGUCUCAAGCGUUGUUCGGAAUCACUGGGCGUAAAGCGUGCGUAGGCUGUUUCGUAAGUCGUGUGUGAAAGGCGCGGGCUCAACCCGCGGACGGCACAUGAUACUGCGAGACUAGAGUAAUGGAGGGGGAACCGGAAUUCACGGUGUAGCA